rnacentral:rRNA from 1 species
ACCAGACUCCUACGGGAGGCAGCAGUGAGGAAUAUUGGUCAAUGGGCGGGAGCCUGAACCAGCCAAGUCGCGUGAGGGAAGACGGUCCUAUGGAUUGUAAACCUCUUUUGUCGGGGAGCAACGAGGCCACGUGUGGCCGAAGUGAGAGUACCCGAAGAAAAAGCAUCGGCUAACUCCGUGCCAGCAGCCGCGGUAAUACGGAGGAUGCGAGCGUUAUCCGGAUUUAUUGGGUUUAAAGGGUGCGUAGGCGGAACAUUAAGUCAGCGGUAAAAUCGAGGGGCUCAACCCCUUUAAGCCGUUGAAACUGGUGAUCUUGAGUGGGCGAGAAGUAUGCGGAAUGCGUGGUGUAGCGGUGAAAUGCAUAGAUAUCACGCAGAACUCCGAUUGCGAAGGCAGCAUACCGGCGCCCGACUGACGCUGAGGCACGAAAGCGUGGGAUCGAACAGGAUUAGAUACCCGCGUA